UACGAAGGGUGCAAGCGUUACUCGGAAUUACUGGGCGUAAAGCGUGCGUAGGUGGUUUGUUAAGUCUGCUGUGAAAGCCCCGGGCUCAACCUGGGAAUGGCAGUGGAUACUGGCAAGCUAGAGUGCGGUAGAGGGGUGUGGAAUUCCCGGUGUAGCGGUGAAAUGCGUAGAGAUCGGGAGGAACACCAGUGGCGAAGGCGGCACCCUGGACCAGCACUGGCACUGAGGCACGAAAGCGUGGGGAGCAAACAGG
rnacentral:rRNA from 1 species